GCGGCCUAUUAGCUCAGAGAGCACCAAUUUUUUGCAUUGGGGGGAAUUAGGUCGGGUUGUU
rnacentral:tRNA from 1 species